rnacentral:rRNA from 1 species
UACGUAGGGCGCAAGCGUUAUCCGGAAUUAUUGGGCGUAAAGAGCUCGUAGGCGGUUUGUCGCGUCUGCCGUGAAAGUCCGGGGCUCAACUCCGGAUCUGCGGUGGGUACGGGCAGACUAGAGUGAUGUAGGGGAGACUGGAAUUCCUGGUGUAGCGGUGAAAUGCAUAGAUAUUACGCAGAACACCGAUCGCGAAAGCAGCUCACUAGACCGUAACUGACGCUGAGGCACGAAAGCGUGGGGAGCGAACAGG